rnacentral:tRNA from 1 species
GUGCCUGUAGCUCAGUGGGUAGGGCACUGGCCCCAUAAACCCAGGCUGGCAGGUUCAAAUCCUGCCCGGCCCA